CGCCGUCAUCGUGUGCCUGGCUGUGGUGGCCGUAGCUGAUCGGUCCCCUUACCCUCCUCCUCCUCCUGCCUACGGACCACCUGCCCCUUACCACCCUCCACCACCUGCCUAUCACAGCGAACCACAGUAUCCUGAUGUUCCUCCCAAGUACACCUAUAACUACGGCGUCGCCGACGGCUACUCCGGCGCCAACUUCGGCCACACGGAGUCCCGCGACGGCUACAAGACCGAGGGCAGCUACACCGUCGACCUCCCCGACGGCCGUAGGCAGAUCGUCAAGUACGAGGACAACGGCGACGGUCUUGUAGCUCAGGUCACCUACGAGGGCGAGGCUCAGUACCCCGAGUACAAGCCCGCGUACGGACCUGCUCCUCCAACGCCCUAUGCAUAGAUAUUUGCUAACAUUGUUACUUUUCAUAUGUUGACUCUCCUAAGCAUUAUCUGAAAUCUCAUAUCCUUUUCCCAUACCAUAUCUCAUAACCAUUAAAGUUCCAGUUGACUGUGAACUUUUUAUUUUUUCAUGAAUACACUUGAAAUAAACAAUUAUCAGUA